rnacentral:rRNA from 1 species
GGUUAUACGAGAGGCCUAAGUUGACAGACAGCGGCGUAAAGAGUGGUUAAGGAAAACACAAAACUAAAGCCGAACGCCUUCAGAACUGUUAUACGUYUUCGAAGGUAUGAAGCCCAACCACGAAAGUGGCUCUACUUCRCCUGAACCCACGAAAGCUAAGGAACAAACUGGGAUUAGAUACCCC